CAAGAAGUACGAUCUUUGUCCCCAUGUGCAGUUGCAAAUCCGUAGUCUGGCAUUGUUAUGGCAGCUUUGGAGCAGUGGCUUCUUCCUUGCUGAGCCGCUUUUCAGGUUAUGUCGAUAUAUGACUCGUUUUACUGUGGAUAUAGAUUAUUUUGUACCUGUUCCCAUCAGCAUCUUCACAAGGUCCUUUGCUGUUGUUCUGGGAUUGAUUUGCACUUUUCGCACCAAAGUACGUUCAUCUCUAGGAGACAGAACGCCUCGCCUUCCUUAGCGGUAUGACGGCUGCGUGGUCCCAUGGUGUUUAUACUUGCGUACUAUUGUUUGUACAGAUGAACGUGGUACCUUCAGGCAUUUGGAAAUUGCUCCCAAGUAUGAACCAGACUUGAGGAGGUCUACAAUUUUUUUUCUGAGGUCUUGGCUGAUUUAUUUUGAUUUUCCCAUGAUGUCAUGCAAAGAGGCACUGAGUUUGAAGGUAGGCCUUGAAAUACAUCCACAGGUACACCUCAAAUUGACUCAAAUUAUGUCAAUUAGCCUAUCAGAAGCUUCUUAUGCCAUGACAUCAUUUUCUGGAAUUUUCCGAGCUGUUUAAAGGCACAGUCAACUUAGUGUAUGUAAACUUCUGACCCACUGGAAUGAAAUAAUCUGUAAACAAUUGUUAGAAAAAUUACUUGUGUCAUGCACAAAGUAGAUGUCCUAAUCGACUUGCCAAAACUAUAGUUUGUUAACAAGAAAUUUGUGGAGUGGUUGAAAACGAGUUUUAAUGACUCCAACCUAAGUGUAUGUAAACUUCCGACUUCAGCUGUAUAUUUGGAAGAGAAACCACAAGAGGAAGACUGACAUAGAGGUCUCCUCCCACACAUGUCUGGCCCUGGGGCUCCAAAGACAGGAUGGAGAAAGGCAGGAAGCAGAUUAAAGCUAAUUAGAGACAUGAGGGGGCAACACAACACAGAUAUCAUUAGACUUCACUCCGACACUAACACUACACUACACUACAGCACACAAACCCAACUAAAUGAGCCUGAACCAGCAUGAACCCGGUCCCUCCCUUACACACUUAUUAGGAUAUACACACACACUAAGCACACCUGAAACCACAUCAAAACACACAACAGGCAGCUUCCUAAACUGCAGUGGUGGGUGGUGUUGUGUGGUGUCACGGUUAAUGUAUGAGACUGGAGGCUAGGGGUUAUGGAUGAACUCAGAGACUGGCUGAGAGACACAGGAUGGACAUGCCCGGGCCUGUAGGCCUUGAUGCCAUCGCCCCACCGAGUCUCCAUAGUGACAUGAGAUCAAAGGAACAUGAAAGAUGACAUCAUGCUCCCACUCCUAGGUUUCACUCUCAGGUUUACUCACCUUGCAGAGGGCGGUAUGUAACGUCUAGACAGACAGAUGGCACUAUUCUACCUGAACCUUUUAUCUGCUGCUGUUGACCCACAUCUGUCUCCACCUAUCAACCAUGACCACUGCAGCUUGAGCCCCUCAAUCUGUCAGGUCAGCAGGGAGUGAGGUCUUCUUUAAACGUUCCUCCAGACUCACUGCAUCCAGAACAUUCACGUACGUAUACACAUACACUUACAGUGAUAAUAGAAACCAGAAAGACAUGCACUUACAGUGUCUUCAGAAAAUAUUCAUACAGCUUUAUGUAUACCACAUUUUGUUGUGUUACAGUCUGAAUUCAAAAUGGAUAAUAAAAUUAUAAUUCUCACCCAUCUACAAAUAAUGAUGAAGUGAAAACAUGUUUUUAGAAAUGUUUACACAAUUAUUGAAAAUGAAGUACAGAACUAUCUCAUUUACAUAAGUAUUCACACA
rnacentral:lncRNA from 1 species